GAAAAUUAGGGGACAUCCUAUUAAAUUGAAACCAUACAAAGAAGAUUAGCAUGACCCCUGCACAAGUGUAACACAAACAAAUCUAGAUCAAAUUAACAGUUAA
rfam:Triticum aestivum genome assembly, contig: Triticum_aestivum_CS42_TGACv1_scaffold_623623_7DS